rnacentral:rRNA from 1 species
CCCUUAGAUGUUCUGGGCCGCACGCGCGUUACACUGAUGAAUUCAACGAGCUCCUAACCUAGGCCGAAGGGUCCGGGUAAUCUUUGAAAUUUCAUCGUGAUGGGGAUAGAUUAUUGCAAUUAUUAAUCUUCAACGAGGAAUUCCUAGUAAGCGCGAGUCAUCAGCUCGCGUUGAUUACGUCCCUGCCCUUUGUACACACCGCCCGUCGCUCCUACCGAUUGAAUGGUCCGGUGAAAUGUUCGGACCGCGACAAGGCGGACGGUUCGCUGUCAGCUUUGCUGCGGGAAGUUCAUUAAACCUUAUCAUUUAGAGGAAGGAGAAGUCGUAACA